UAUCUUUCUUCUUUCACAGAAACCAACAAGGAGGAAGAGGAGGUGGUGGUGGCUUUUCUUAUGGAGGAAUAAGAGGAGGGAGCAUAGGAGGAGGUGGUAGCAUUGGAGGGGGGACCAUUGGAGGGACCUGCAUUGGAGGAGGCAUAGGAGGAGGUGGCAUUGGAGGGGGCAGCAUUGGAGGAGGCAUAGGAGGGGGCAGCAUCGGAGGGUGUGGAAUAGGAGGAGGUGGUGGUAGUGGAGGCAGUGGCUCCUGUGUUAUUUCAGGGGGAGGAAUAGGAGGAGGUGGUGGAGGAGGAGUUAGAAUUUCAGGAGGUGGUGGUGGUGGAUUGUCCCACUCCUACUCUUCAUCUUCCCAUGGCAUCUCCUCGUCUUCUCAAUCCCAGUCUUGCAAGAGCGGUGGAGAAAGUCAUGGGUAUGGAAGAAAAUCCUAAAUAGAGAUACCAAUGAUCCUCAAGCUCAGUAUUGUUAAAGAGAGAAAGUUAAAGCGUGUUGUCUACAUUCUCUGCAUGCCUGAACAAAGGACAAGGAGAAAAGCUCCUAACAGUUACUUAGCACUGCUACUGCAAUCUGUCCCAAGGGGCCCAUCACAGCUGUUGAGAUGGGCCACCUUCCUGCCUGUCACACUCUAUGCCCUUUCCAUCUGCAAUGCUCUAUGGGUUCAAUCAUUGAUAUUUGAGUUAAGCUGUACCAUGCAAAAUAAUCUACCUUUUGGUGAAAAAGUUCUCUAAUAAAACUUUAUUUCUGUCUAAUGCAAACAGGAA